rnacentral:rRNA from 1 species
AACAGUUGGAAACGACUGCUAAUACCGGAUACGAACUAAAUUAAUCUUUAGUUGAAAGGAGGCCUCUGCUUGCAAGCUUCUACUGUUGGAUGAGCCCGCGGCUCAUUAGAUAGUUGGUGAGGUAAUGGCUCACCAAGUCAGUGAUGAGUAGCCGGCCUGAGAGGGUGAACGGCCACACUGGGACUGGAACACGGCCCAGACUCCUACGGGAGGCAGCAGUGGGGAAUAUUGCGCAAUGGA